CCCAGCCAGUUCCUCAGCAGCGCGUGAGUGGUGAGCGGCAGUUUCGACGGCGAAUGGCAGGCCGCAGCUGGCUUGCUGGUCGGCGGCAUGGUGCUCAGCGGGUUAGAUGGCCGGCAAUGGAUUCUGAAGCGUUGUGAGAAGGCGUGUGGCCUGGAUGUCGCGACGGCACUGCAAGUGGUGGUCGUGGCCGCGCUGCAAAUGGUGGUCACGGCGGCGUUGGUUCAACCACGGUCGCCACGGACUGCAGAAGGACGAGCAUCCAGCGCCGCCACCGGUAUUUAAGUUCGUGCUCCUCCCUUUUUUCUCACACACAUAACACAGCGAGCACGCUGCCCUUCUCCUUGCAUGAUGCCCUUCCUCUUACACCAUGUCGCUUUCUUGUUUUGCUAGCCCCCUUCCUCCUGCUAGGUAGCAUCUUUUUAUUGAUCUGAUUGCUUCCAAAAUUUCACUGCUUAUGUCUGUAAUUCCCUUUGGAUCUCAUUCUUUGCCUAACUACUUGGCAUUUCUUGCCCACGAGGUGUUUGUUUUAAUGUCUGAAUGGGAACUGCUACUGACAAUGUGCUCAAAGAAGACGCUUAACAGUGAUAUAUUGAUAGGUGAGGAGCUCAUAGGAGGCGCGAGCAACCCUGAUCCUAAUGCUUUCAGUUCCAAUCAAUUUCAUGUUUGUUACACCUCGUCAUGUUCUUCCCAAAUUUCUACAUUGGUGUUCAGUUUUUGUGGAGGCUGCAGACUGGAGUGAUCACGAGAAUAGACCUCCUACCCGAUGAGGAACAACAUUGACCCCAUCUGUUGAUGGCACUGAAAUUAAUGGUGGCAGAACCAUCGGAGGCGUCUGAAUAUCUUUGAGAUGCUGGGCUCAAACUAUGGUUGCUCAGCAGAGUCAGCACAUGGCUCACUGGUGCUCUUUAUAGAAAUAAUGAAAUCCAAAAUUGUUGUUUGGGUUCUUGUUUUUACAUGGCAUGCAUUUUCUUUUGUAGUUUAAUAAUGUACCUCCGCCCGUGUUUGACGAGACACCAAAGCACCAUAGAGAUCACUUCGAAAACUUGUCACAAGCAUGUGACGCGACUCCCCAAUGAGAAAAUGAUGGCCUUAAAAUGAUGUGUGGUCAUUACGUAUGACGAGACAAGAAAUUACGUUGGCUCAUCCUGGAUGUGAUAAUGACGCAUCCAGUCCAAUAGAACAUCCCAUCAGACAAUGAAUGCUCGUUUCAUGUUUUGGGUCUUUAACUAGAAUGUCAUCUGCCACCAGUAUAUUAGUUUUGUUUGCGGGUAGCCACAAGUAUAGUAAUGACUUAACUGAAACUAUAGCUUAGGCCAAUGAUUUGCAUCUUCUUUAUCUGGUUAUACCUUUGUACGUACAACGGAGUAUGUAAAACUACUUGGCCUCUCCUUACAAAAAUGGAAUUGAGUUUUUGCACUCCAGUUAAUAGAAGGAUACUAAUUGCUUUAUUAA